GACGAACGCUGGCGGCGUGCUUAACACAUGCAAGUCGAACGUGAUUUUUGUGGAAAUUCUUUCGGGAAUGGAAAUGAAAUGAAAGUGGCGAACGGGUGAGUAACACGUGAGCAACCUACCUUACACAGGGGGAUAGCCGUUGGAAACGACAAUUAAUACCGCAUGAGACCACAGAAUCGCAUGAUAUAGGGGUCAAAGAUUUAUCGGUGUAAGAAGGGCUCGCGUCUGAUUAGCUAGUUGGAAGGGUAAAGGCCUACCAAGGCGACGAUCAGUAGCCGGUCUGAGAGGAUGAACGGCCACAUUGGAACUGAGACACGGUCCAAACUCCUACGGGAGGCAGCAGUGGGGAAUAUUGCACAAUGGGGGGAACCCUGAUGCAGCGACGCCGCGUGAGCGAAGAAGGUUUUCGAAUCGUAAAGCUCUGUCCUAUGAGAAGAUAAUGACGGUAUCAUAGGAGGAAGCCCCGGCUAAAUACGUG
rnacentral:rRNA from 1 species